UACGAAGGGGGCUAGCGUUGCUCGGAAUCACUGGGCGUAAAGGGUGCGUAGGCGGCCUUGUAAGUCAGUGCUGAAAUAUCCCGGCUUAACCGGGAGGGUGGCAUUGAUACUGCAGGGCUUGAGUAAAGUUGAGGUUGGCGGAAUUGACGGUGUAGCGGUGAAAUGCUUAGAUAUCGUCAAGAACACCGAUAGUGAAGACAGCUAAC
rnacentral:rRNA from 1 species